UAACUAUCUAGGGCUCGUCAUUUUCGCGCUUCACUGGAGAGGCGGCAGGCUUUCUUGUUAUUUGGGAGCCGGGAAAAUCGAUUUGCAGAAAUGGAUUCGGUCCCGAAGAUUCGAGGUCAAGAAUCUCCUUGUUUAUUGGGAACUUUAUUGAUCCGAUCCAAAAAUUUUCUGGUUCUGAUGAUUUCGGUGGCGAAAUUAGGCUUCUGUUCUUGUUUAUUCGGAACUUUGUCGAUCUGAUCCAAAAGUUUUCUGGUUCCGAUGAUUUCGAAGGCGAAACUAGGCUUCUGUUCUUGUUUUUUAAGGAAAUUUGUGAACACUUGUUCUUCAUGGUGCUGAUGAUGAGAACAUUUCAGGCAUGAGCCGCAGCAAUACGAUUGCGCUCCGUGUAGACGAGAUCUACAUGGGUUGUUGCUGCGAUGAAGAAUGUGCCAAAAUGCUAAUCUGAAGCUUAUUUUUCUUUACUCAUUUUUUUGAAUCGAUUCAUUUUCGUUAAAUUAAAUCUGCAUAGGUUUCAAUUAUUACUGGAUUUUGCAUCAAUUCAUUCUCAUUUUGAACUUCGAUUUUUUUUU